rnacentral:pre_miRNA from 1 species
CAAAUACUCCCUCCGUCUGGAAAUACUUGUCAUCAAAAUGGAUAAAAGGAAAUGUAUCUAGAUGUAUUUUAGUUUUAGAUACAUAUCUUUUUAUCCAAUUUGAUGACAAGUAUUUUCGGACGGAGGGAGUAUUUA